UUCUUUUAAGGAAGAAAAGCUCUUAUUCAAAUGUUCAAAAAGAGGAAAUAUCGGGAGAUUCUUGAGAAGGAUCUUCUCACCCGUAAAUUUGAUUCUCAUUCCAAGCUUGGAAUAAGAUACCAUGUCUAUGAUAUUAUCGGAGCUGAUUUUGUCAAAAGCGUGGAUACUACAUCAGGACAAUUACUGAGACUGGACAUCCAAUCAGAGAGUCGAGCGAGAUCGAAAAGAUGAUCAGUGUCCUUGCAAGGCAUUGUUUGAUCUUGUGACGCAACGCGGGAAAGAAGGCAUUGUGUGACAAGACCAAAAUGCGGCUGCAAGGGCGAUUAUACAACGACACAUGCCUCUAUUUGUUUAGGGGCUGAUUACAUGUUUCUGUGAAACAAAUUGCUUCUCUUAAAUUAAUGAAUAAUUAGCAGUUGUACUGCAAAUCUUCUUGUCUUUGAUUGUAGAGAUUAACAUAACAAAAAGUUUCAUAUAGUAGUAAGAGAUGUCAUUCCUUGUAAAAGGCUCCUUGAAACUUUUUCAAGUUAAAGGCAUCCUAAAAUGCAAAAGAAUGAGAAUAACAUUUUAAUCUUAUUUGAAACUUUCACU